rnacentral:tRNA from 1 species
GUUGAGAUGACCGUGUUGGUCUAAGGUGCAGGUUUUGGUCCGAAAGGGCGUGGGUUCGAAUCCCACUCUCAGCA